rnacentral:misc_RNA from 1 species
AACGCACAUUGCGCCCCCUGGCAUUCCGGGGGGCAUGCCUGUUCGAGCGUCAUUACAACCCUCACGCCCAGCGUGGUAUUGGGCUCCGCCUUCGAGGCGGGCCUCAAAGUCAGUGGCGGCACUGCCGGACCCUAAGCGUAGUACUACUCGUCGCUUGUUGGGCUUCCGGCAGCAGCCUGCCAGCAACCCCCAUUUUUUCAAGGUUGACCUCGGAUCAGGUAGGGAUACCCGCUGAACUUAA